AUUUUCUCCCUUCUCUCCCCAGUUUUCACACUCUCAGUUUCUCUGCUUUCUCUCUCUUUUUUCUGUGUGCCUCUGGCCAAGCUCUCUCUCUCUCUCUCUCUCUCUCUCGCUCCCUCCCAACCUUUUCAGCUUCUGUUACUUGGUCAGAGUAAUUGAUCUCUUUCGGUCCUCAAUUUCAGUAAUUUCACUGAAAUCCCAUGUUGGUGGAUUGAAGUUAUUCACUGAUUCUUUUGACUUCUGGAAAAAUUUAUGGUGAAUUCCAGUGCUAAUAGUUUGAUUAUUGUGUAAAGUUUCAUACUUUACGAAGUAAAAUCCAAAAAGGUUAGAUUUAGAGAAAGGCAACUGACAGAGAGGCUCUUUUUGAGUAACUGGGUCACUUUUCUCUAUCGCUUUAAACGCGGGUUUGGUGGUUUUUGUGAUUUUGGAGGUGGGUUUUCAAGACUUUGGCUUAAGCUUUAAAAUAUGAUUGUUAGCUCUCUCUGCAAUGCAGGCGCUAGGUUCUCGGUGAGUUCAUAAAAACUUCAUAUAAUUUUCUUUUCAACUUUUGCUCAUAUUCUUCCACAUAUACCGUUGAUCAUAGCAAUUUUUGGUGAACAUAUAUAUGUUACAAAUUGUGUUCUCUACUCAUAAAAUUAUGAACAUCUUGUGAGUUUUUGGAGUGUCAAUACGUAUUAUGUAAAUGUGUAUUUAGUAUUGAUAAUUAUGAGAUACUCUGUGAUAUUAUUAAAUGAGGUGGGAAGAUUGUGUACGCCAAUUAGAUAUGCUUAUGUUUCAAUUCAUGCAUAGUAUAUGAAUUUGUUGUCUGGGCCCACCAAAAGUCAUUCAAUAAUUUCAGCUUGUUCCGAUUACACUCGUAGAAGCUAAUCUAUGAUUCUGAUCUUGUGCUUUAUUGUUAUUAUUAUUAUUAUUUUAUUUUAUUUUUAUCAUUUACUAACACGCCAUUCAAAUUUAAGCGUGGUUGAUUUAUGCUUUUGGAUUAAUGAAAUCACGGACCUUUGGUCCAUUCUAAAGGACUUUGAGUUUUGAUUUGUAUAAUAUGAUGCAUUAUUUGCUUGUAUUAUAUAUUUAUUAGUUUAAUAUGAGUAGGUGAUUGUGUUUUUCAUUGUACGAUGGAGCUGUUGUCUCUUUGUGAGUUUACAAGUUUUAAUAAUUGGUUAUAUACGCUAGCACCAAUGGACUGUAUUAUUAUAUUUUGUUUUGUGUAUCGAACUGGGGGUAAACCACUGACCGAAACAGUGCAUGUUUUGUUUAUAAUAUAAACAUUAAUAAUGCAGUGAUAUAUUUGCAUGCUGUCGUGUAUUGCUUAUAUAAAACUUGAUUAUUUUAAGGUAUACAUUGAAUGGCAUUAAGCUUGUUCAUGGAAAAAAUUCGCCAUGUUCCUAGAUGUUUCGGUUAUCAAAAUCACACUUGUCGGACGGUCAACUGUAAUCUUCUAUUUUUGGCUUUUCUAACAUUACCGCACGGGUGCCUUCCUGCAGCUUCUACCCAUGUGCAUGAUUUCCUGUGUUCUGUAAGACUUGUGUGAAACCUUGUGCAUUCAUGUGCUUCGUAGGAGGUACAGGAUAAACCAGCAUCCAAGAAAGCUUCACGCAUAUUGCUUUGAGACAAAAAGAAAUAGGAGUUUUUCUGUAGUUAGAAUGUCACUAAGUUUAGCUCAUUUUGCAUAUAGUAUAUUCGUUUUGUUUCCUAGUGUCGUGGGAAUAGUAGAGCAUCUGUGUUCAUAAAUCCUGUCACAAGAGGCCUACUGUUUGGGGAAUAUGUUUUGUCUGGAAUAGAUCUGUAGUGAGUAUUAAAAAACUGACACAUAAGUUCCUGUUCCUGUUAGGUAAUUUAUUUAAUGUGUUAGCAACUUAACAUCAAUUGUUUUUUUGUUACCCUCCUUUUUAGUUAAGAUUCCUUCAAGAGUAGAACAUUAUGACGAACAUGUACAAUGAUUAUAACCAAACAAGAAGGAUGAUUCACUUUUCUGGACUGCUUGCUACGCAUUGUACCAUCAAGGGAAAUACUUGAAGUUCUGGAUGCGUUCAUCUUAUAUUGGGACUUGUGAAAGUGUUAGGUUAACAUUGAUUAUUGGGUGUGUGUUUCUGCUAAUGCUUGUCUAAUCUUACAAAUAGUGAUUCUUCUUUCUUUGUUAACCUAGGGGGAAGAAGGGAUUGAUGUAAGAAACAUGACAGAACACAAAAGAAGCCCCUGCUCUGUUGAUCAAAGCAAUUUUACUUCUCUUGCAUCCAAACGACAUAAGACUGAUUUGUCCAUCUCCACAAAGGUUUCUUUUCCUGCUUCUCAAAUUUUUUGUUAUUAGGGUGGGUAUGGACCUUAAUUGUAUCUUAGAUUCAAUGGGGGCUCUAGGAUGUUUCUUCUAAACAUUGACAAGAGCUGUCUUUUGAUAUCUGUCUCUCAAGAAAUUUAUGAUUUGUAGAAUAAGGUUUGCACUGGUGUGACUCGAUCUUGUUCCUCUUUGUAUGUGCGUGUGUUAAUUGGUAUUUUGGGGGCAAUCUGGCUUCAAUCAAACACUUUUUUAAAUUUUGGAACUUGAAGCUCUUACCUUAGAGGUAUUAGAAUUGUUUUCUGAUCUCUAUAAAAUAUGCUUUCAAGUGCUCCAUUACCUUUAUUAAUAUCCAUGGAAAAGAAAAAUGCAACUAUCUCAUAACAAUAGUUUAUUUAUUCAAAGCUGAUAUAGUUAGAAAUUGCUUGACUUUUUUUUUCUAUUUUAAAAAAAAAUAAAAAAAAUAAAAAUAUAUAAUCAUAAGAUGCUUGAAAAUGGCAUGUUCUGUAUGUUUCAGUAGCCGCUUUAAAAUUCACACUCGUGUAGUUCCUAUUGUCUGGUAGCAAUUCAAUUCCUAAAGAAACUAGGGUUUUUACCUCGAGGGCGUAGUUUGCUGGGGAUAUCUAUUGUGAGCUACUUAUGUUUUAAAUUCUUUUGUUCUGCUUGUAGGAGAGGAAAGAGAAGCUUGGUGAACGGAUUGUAGCUUUGCAACAGCUUGUUUCGCCAUAUGGAAAGGUACACAGAACAAAUUAAUCCUUUUCCUUAGAUGAGAAACUGUUGAACCAUGAUUUAUAAUGGUGGCAUUACGACAUUAAUGGUUUCCUAUUAACUCAUCUCAUGGAAUUUGUGGUGUUUAUAAUUCUUGGGUCCAUCCAUCAUGCACUUCAGGCAUCACCACAAAGUGAAUAUCAUCUGAUAGAGAGUGCUUAUGCUAUAUUUACUGUAGAUAGGUUUCCAAUGCCAACAGUUUAUUCCUAGAAAAAAAAUAAGUUGUUUAUAUAUUCUGUGUGUGUCUAAAGUCCUAUUAUUGUACUGCAGACAGACACAGCUUCAGUCCUGCUGGAGGCAAUGGAUUACAUACGCUUCCUUCAUGAACAAGUUAAGGUUAGCCUUUUCAUUCUUCUUAUAAGCGAACACCUUCCCUAGUACCCAACUUCAUAACUGGUAUUACAUAGACUGGAUUUUGUUAUAUGGUAUUGCCAACUUCAGAUGUAAUCUGCUAUAAGACAUAAUUCCGUAUGGUUGAUAUUGUGAUAUGAAUGAGACACUUCCUUUUUAAAGAUUGCCUCAAAGUGAAAAUAAGAACAGUUAAGAUACGGUUGUUUUUUUGUUUUUUGUUUUUUGUGUGUGUUUCUUUGGCCUGUAAGAUACUGUUUCUUUUUGUUCUGCAAAAACAAACAAGAUGAGUAACUUCAAUCUUGCCUUGUUUGUGUUAUUUGAGUAAUGUGAAGUGAUAGGGCUUCUUGUUCAAAACUAAUGAUGCAAAUAUUUGAAAUGUUUUACUUUUGAGAGAUGCGUCUUCCGUAUAAACUGCUUGAUAAGGUAACAGAUUUGACUUUCUUGUUGGUGGAUUUAGGUGUUGAGCGCUCCAUACCUUGAAAGCACACCAACAGCUAAGAUGCAGGUGAGCUUGAGCUGGAUGUAGACAUAAGCAAGAGCAAAAUGUCAAUGAUAUUUCAAAGCUUGUUUGGAGAACUGAUGAAUUACAUUAAUUGAAUGUAACCAUAUGUCAUAAUGAAGACAUCACUAAGCUGCCAUGUCCUACGUGUGUUGUUGGAUAAAAAGCAAAGUGAUGUGACCUAGUGUGCAUGGGUCAAAGAUGCCUCUCUUUUCACACAUUAGUACCAUUUAAUUUGGCAUAAUUGGUUUAAAUUUAUGGUGAAAAUGUAAUGUGGUUGUUCAUUAAUUUUCUUUCAUCAGGAAUUAGAGCCAUACAGCUUGAGAAGCAGAGGUCUGUGCCUUGUUCCUGUCUCUUGUACUGCCGGAGUUGCUCAAAGUAAUGGUGCAGAUAUCUGGGCCCCCAUUAAGAAUACUUCCCCCAAGUUUGAGAACGCUAUCUCACAAUUCCAUUGAUACAGAUCAAUGCUCAGCAACCAAAAUGGUCUUGAAGAUGGAUGCCAGAUUGAGGCUGUGUAAAGGGUAACCAAUUUCGUUUCUAAAGCACAACCCAUUUUUUGUGAGGCAGAUUCGGAUUCAGUAACUGAAAUUUUUAGCAUGACGCCCUUCAAUGUAAUUCUGUGAUUGAAUGUAGUCAUGCUUGAACUCCAUCUAAUGCAGGCCCCAACCAUUCUGGUUUUAAACUGGUGGUGGGAUAAGCUUCUAGUACGGUACCUCGAUUGUAUACUUAAAUGAAUCUACAAAAUGUAUAUUUAUAAACUUGUGUUGUACAAUGAUUCUGACCAUGAAUUAAUGAAUAUAUGGUGGGGAAUAUAAUGGUAUGAUUUAUA
rnacentral:lncRNA from 1 species